GUAGUCAACAAAUUCGCGCGUCUGACUAAUAGCACUGACGGCUCAGCGGUACAACGUCGGACUAGCGAUCGUAUGGGCGAGGGUUCAAACCCCGGUGGCGCAUCAUCUUUUUCUAAAUUUUUAAAGAUAUUUUUCAUACUUAUAUUAAUGCAUUACAUUCGGCAAGUCAUUCCAGCUCAUGUCUUUGAAAGAUUAAUACGGUUGGUGUGUAAACUAUGUACCCGCCAUAGACAUCGAAAUUGCAAAUGUAAAAUUAGAUUGCAAAAUGCAAUCACCGUUUAUUAACUAAGUUUGAUACUUAUUACGGACAUUAUUAUUGUUUUGUUUUGUGAGUGACAGUACGGCGAAGGGGUAAGCUUGUUUGAACUUCGCCGCGUAAAGCAGUCACAUACCAG